AGGAAACCUAAAUCUCUCUACGGCCUACGGCCUAUGCAUAUAUAAUAAUAGAGAGAAAGCAAAGCAGAAAGUCAAAAUGGAAAUGCCCACAAAAGUUAUCUGUUAAAAGAAGCAAUGUAGAGAUGGAAAGAUGCUCAACUAUUUGAACUUUGAAACAAAUGAAUAUGUGCCCACCAUGUGUUCGAUAUUUUAACCCGAAAGAGCAAAACAAUUUGAGUAUAUUCCUUCUUGCAAAGCUGUACUUUUGAGCUUUUUCUUUUCUAUAUCCGAC
rnacentral:lncRNA from 1 species